CCAACGGCUCUUUUAAGAGCCACCCACGAUUUCUCGAAGAGGCUG
rfam:Mesitornis unicolor contig63381, whole genome shotgun sequence.